AGGACGAACGCUGGCGGCGUGCUUAACACAUGCAAGUCGAGCGGAAAGGCCCUUCGGGGUACUCGAGCGGCAAACGGGUGAGUAACACGUGAGCAACCUGCCCUUAGCUUCGGGAUAGCUCCGGGAAACCGGAAUUAAUACCGAAUAUGAUUUUUGCUGACAUCAGCAGAAGUGGAAAGUUUUUCGGCUAGGGAUGGACUCGCGGCCUAUCAGCUAGUUGGUGAGGUAACGGCCCACCAAGGCGACGACGGGUA
rnacentral:rRNA from 1 species